rnacentral:rRNA from 1 species
AUGCAAGACUACUUUGCGGGCAAUCCUACCUAUCUGCCUCACCUCUUCCGGAGAAGGUAUCGGAUGCGCCGAUCCCUCUUUGUAAAAAUUGUGCAAGCUUGCGAGGGCAAUUCUUGUUUUUUACUCAAAGGAGAAACACCACGGGCUUGUUGGGUUUUAGCGCAUAUCAAAAAAUCCCGACAGCUAUGCGGGUGA